GACGAACGCUGGCGGCGUGCUUAACACAUGCAAGUCGAACGGAAAGACCCUGCUUGUGUGGGGUGCUCGAGUGGCGAACGGGUGAGUAACACGUGAGUAACCUGCCCUUGACUUUGGGAUAACUUCAGGAAACUGGGGCUACUACCGUAUAGGAGAUCCUGCUGCGUGGUGGGGAGUGGAAAGUCUCGGCGGGUGGGGAUGGACUCGCGGCUUAUCGGCUUGUUGGUGGGGUAGUGGCUUACCAAGGCUUUGACUGGUACGCGGCCUGGGAGCGUGGACGGCCACCAUGGUCCUGCGAGACGGACCAGUCUGCUACGGGGGGCAGCGGUGGGGAAUCUUGCCCAAUGGGCCGACGUCUGUGGCGGAAACGUCGCGUGCGGGAUGCCGGCCUUUGGGGUGUAAACCGCUUUCGGCUGUGACGCAGCUUGAGUGACGGUAACGGGUAAAGAAGCACCGGCUAACUACGUG
rnacentral:rRNA from 1 species